UACGUAGGGAGCAAGCGUUGUCCGGAAUCAUUGGGCGUAAAGCGCGCGUAGGUGGCCCUGUAAGUCCGUUGUGAAAGUCAAAGGCUCAACCUUUGAAAGCCGAUGGAUACUGCAGGGCUAGAGUACGGAAGAGGCGAGUGGAAUUCCUGGUGUAGCAGUGAAAUGCGUAGAUAUCAGGAGGAAUACCGAUGGCGAAGGCAGGUCUCUGGGCUGACACUGACGCUCAUGCACGAAAGCGUGGGGAGCAAACAGG
rnacentral:rRNA from 1 species